GAUGAACGCUGGCGGCGUGCCUAAUACAUGCAAGUCGAGCGAACAGACGAGGAGCUUGCUCCUCUGACGUUAGCGGCGGACAGGUGAGUAACACGUGGAUAACCUACCUAUAAGACUGGGAUAACUUCGGGAAACCGGAGCUAAUACCGGAUAAUAUAUUGAACCGCAUGGCUCAAUAGUGAAAGACGGUUUUGCUGUCACUUAUAGAUGGAUCCGCGCCGCAUUAGCUAGUUGGUAAGGUAACGGCUUACCAAGGCAACGAUGCGUAGCCGACCUGAGAGGGUGAUCGGCCACACUGGAACUGAGACACGGUCCAGACUCCUACGGGAGGCAGCAGUAGGGAAUCUUCCGCAAUGGGCGAAAGCCUGACGGAGCAACGCCGCGUGAGUGAUGAAGGUCUUCGGAUCGUAAAACUCUGUUAUUAGGGAAGAACAAAUGUGUAAGUAACUAUGCACGUCUUGACGGUACCUAAUCAGAAAGCCACGGCUAACUACGUG
rnacentral:rRNA from 1 species